AGCAGCCGCGGUAAUUCCAGCUCCAAUAGCGUAUAUUAAAGUUGUUGCAGUUAAAAAGCUCGUAGUUGAAUUUCGGGAUUGACGUGAUGGUCGUGCCUUAAGGGGUAUGAACUGUUGCUGUUGAUUUCUCACCUUCUGGAGAAACUUGAUGUCCUUAAUUGGGUGUCUUGCGGAUCCAGGACCUUUACCUUGAAAAAAUUAGAGUGUUUAAAGCAGGCAUUUUGCUCGAAUACAUUAGCAUGGAAUAAUAGAAUAGGACGGCAUGGUUCUAUUUUGUUGGUUUCUAGGAUCACCGUAAUGAUUAAUAGGGAUAGUUGGGGGCAUUAGUAUUCAAUUGUCAGAGGUGAAAUUCUUGGAUUUAUUGAAGACUAACUACUGCGAAAGCAUUUGCCAAGGAUGUUUUCAUUAAUCAAGAACGAAAGUUAGGGGAUCGAAGACGAUCAGAUACCGUCGUAGUCUUAACCAUAAACUAUGCCGACUAGGGAUCGGAUGAUGUUAAUUUUUAAUGACUCAUUC
rnacentral:rRNA from 1 species